CAGAGAGCACAGGAGCAGAGUUAUGGCAAGAGGCACAUCACCGGGUCUCUGAUGAGAUCAGCCAUGGAUACUGUGGAGUGAGAAGGAAGUCCCUUAUCACAGCACACAUGGAUUGAGAGUGCACAUAACCAUUGGUUUUGGAAUAAACCUUUGGAGACUGCAGCAUUUCUUGCACUACACAAAGUAGAAGGUAUGGGGUUUUGCCACUUCUUUUGUGUGUUUCUCCUACACCAGGUAUUUUGCCUAUGAAAAUAGAGUAUGGCAAGAAAACACACUUGCAAUCCUUCUUCCAGUUUCGAUAGUUUGCGUCCACUGUUACAAUUUAAGACCAGGCAGAAUAUGCAAUUACUCUUACAAGACACAGACAGGCAAUCCUUACCCAAAGAAAAUGGUGCUGAUCCUACUUGUGCAUGUGGGUAAUUCUACCCAUGCAGGUGACGCUACUGGGAAACUCCACGCCUGAUGCAGUUCUUAGCAGCUGGAAAUGUGGUUUUUGGACUUGGGCCCUUUAAUAUUAUUUGAACCAUGCUGUGGUUCAUUUGCUCACAGUGAGUAACAUAUUACUCUGAACAGACUCCCACUAGCUUUGGGGAGUCUGUUCACGGUGCAAGGACCCAUUCAGUAGUCAAAAUCUGGCCUCAGGCACUGCGUGCGUUAUUACAGCAGAAAUUCAUUUUGAGCUGUGCUUGGGGAAAGGCUGCACACCUCUCCAGGUGACAGCCGUCAGUGUGCAUGGUGCUGCUUCCCAGAUCAUCUCCAUGCAGCAGCUCUUCCAUAUGAGCUGUGCAGGCUGCCAGAAGCACAUGCAGCACGCUUCUCACAAGCUGCUGUGCAAACCUAUCACUAUAGGCUUCAGGCUCGUGGGUCCUGCUGGCUGUGUUGCCAUGUCCCGUUUGCGAGCCUUGAUGAGAUUGCUCCUGAGCUUUGUGUGCAUUUAGAGCCCUGGAGUGAGAUGUCAGGGACAGAAGCUGAGGGCUUUGGCACAAAUAAGAUCUUCCAAACUAAAUUUAGGGGAAACUCCACAAAACUCUAUUGAUUUUUUUUUUCUUCUCUGUACUUAAUUCAAUAUCUCUUUGCUCUAGUAGGAUAGCAAAUUGAUAGAAUCGUGUGUCCCCUUUACCACGAUGUCAUUUCAAGACAGCAACUGCCUGCUUUUAAAAGGAUGUGGAGUGCCCUCAACUAUUUUGUCUGCAAGAGCUAUGUGCGCAGAAUUUUCAGUGAAAUGUUAAGUGCAGAGUGACAAGAGUGUUCAUAUGGCUGGCUCACUGUGAAACCCGGAAUGUGUAGCACUCACAUCAGUCUGUUGGUCUGAUCAGGUUUCCCUGCUUCACUUCUCCCCUCCAGCAAGGCAGAGCUGGCUGCCAUGAGCAUCCCCUCCUGCUGCUAGGAGGAGCAGGUGAAAGAUGAGGCGAGAGUGACAAUGAGGGCAGCAGGGACUCAGGAGGGAGAAGAAAGCAGAGUGACUCACACUGGGGCUUCAAUGAUUGCCCUUAAGUGUGGCCACUGGUUACUGCUCUCACAUUUGCAGUGUUUGAGGUGUAGGAAGACAUGGUCCUCAAGAUAAGCGAACAAACAUCAGCUUUAGGGCAGUAGCCCUUCAUAUUUCAUUCCAUGGAGAGUAUCCUUCUACUAAUACUCCUAGGAAAGACCAACUGCGGAAUAGUCUGUCCUCACUUCCAUAUCUCCCAUCUGUUACACCCAGCUCCUCACACACUUAUGCUAGUCCAUUGAUUUCUGGCUCUUGCUCACUAUGUGAGUCCCAUGGCAGGUGUCUGGGACCGAGCCUCAGCUCUGCCUUGUGAUGUGCAGGUACAGUGAUGCUUGUACAUAGGACAAAGCUGACAAAGCAGAAUAUUUCACAGCUGCCUCACAUACAGUUACGGGCACAACCAGCUUGAUGCUUAGAAUUACUCUAACACAGAAUCGUGGCACAAAUUCUUACAGCAAGGGCCAAAGGAGACCUACAUUCCUCUUUCAUGUGCCUGAGACCACACUGUGUGAAGAUCAUGGUUUUAAUAUAGAUAUAACCACUAAGAGGAGAUUCAUACCUUGGCCGUUGGUCCCACUGUUACUUCAGAGUCUGCAGAUUUGCAGAAGGCAGC
rnacentral:lncRNA from 1 species